rnacentral:rRNA from 1 species
CCUACGGGAGGCAGCAGUGGGGAAUCUUAGACAAUGGGCGCAAGCCUGAUCUAGCCAUGCCGCGUGUGUGAUGAAGGCCUUAGGGUCGUAAAGCACUUUCGCCAGAGAUGAUAAUGACAGUAUCUGGUAAAGAAACCCCGGCUAACUCCGUGCCAGCAGCCGCGGUAAUACGGAGGGGGUUAGCGUUGUUCGGAAUUACUGGGCGUAAAGCGUACGUAGGCGGAUCAGAAAGUAAGGGGUGAAAUCCCAGGGCUCAACCCUGGAACUGCCUCUUAAACUCCUGGUCUUGAGUUCGAGAGAGGUGAGUGGAAUUCCAAGUGUAGAGGUGAAAUUCGUAGAUAUUCGGAGGAACACCAGUGGCGAAGGCGGCUCACUGGCUCGAUACUGACGCUGAGGUACGAAAGUGUGGGGAGCAAACAGGAUUAGAUACCCUGGUAGUCCACACCGUAAACGAUGAAUGCCAGUCGUCGGGCAGUAUACUGUUCGGUGACACACCUAACGGAUUAAGCAUUCCGCCUGGGGAGUACGGUCGCAAGAUUAAAACUCAAAKGAAUUGACGG